UACGUAGGUGGCAAGCGUUGUCCGGAUUUACUGGGCGUAAAGAGCGCGCAGGCGGUUGUGCAAGUCGGGUGUGAAAGCCCCCGGCUCAACUGGGGAGGGUCACGCGAUACUGUUCGACUUGAAGGCAGGAGAGGGAAGUGGAAUUCCCGGUGUAGUGGUGAAAUGCGCAGAUAUCAGGAGGAACACCGAUGGCGAAGGCAGGUCUCUGGGCCGAUACUGACGCUGAGGAGCGAAAGCGUGGGGAGCGAACAGG
rnacentral:rRNA from 1 species